rnacentral:rRNA from 1 species
AACGCGAAGAACCUUACCUGGGCUUGAACCGCACAGGACCAUCUUUGGAAACAGAGACUUCCCGCAAGGGACCUGUGUAGAGGUGCUGCAUGGCUGUCGUCAGCUCGUGCCGUGAGGUGUUGGGUUAAGUCCCGCAACGAGCGCAACCCUUACUCAUAGUUGCUACCCGCAAGGGAGAACUCUAUGAGGACCGCUCCGGAUAACGGAGAGGAAGGUGGGGAUGAGGUCAAGUCAGCAUGGCCUUUAUGUCCAGGGCUACACACGUGCUACAAUGGGCGGUACAAAGCGCUGCUAAGCCGCAAGGCGGAGCCAAUCGCAAAAAGCCGCUCUCAGUUCGGAUUGCAGGCUGCAACUCGCCUGCAUGAAGCUGGAAUCGCUAGUAAUGCUAUAUCAGAACGAUAGCGUGAAUACGUUCCCGGGCCUUGUACACACCGACGCGUA